rnacentral:lncRNA from 1 species
CAGAGCUUCCCCCUUGCCAAGGCUGCCGUUGCUCUUGGGACCAGCUGAAUACAACGGGCACCCCACCCCAGCGCUGGUGAUCAGACCCUUUGAACAUGGCAGUGCUGGCUCUGUCUUGUUCUGAAGGCUUUUGAGCCUUACCCGCCUGCUGCACAAACCGCUGUAGCUCCUGAUGUGGUAUGUCAAUCUAUGCCUUCCCUGGGUAGGGGUCCUACCACCUUCGCAGCCGGUGACUCCAGAAUGCUGAGUUUUUACCCCUCCCCCCACAUACUGCUGUCACCUCAUUGUGUCUGCGUGGGCUGUGUGGCUCACAGCAAUAGUGCUCAGAGCCUGCCAGGCACUCAGACCCGGCCGCUGAUAGACAAGGAACAGUUAUGCUAAUCAACCCAGGAGUGGGGCAGGUGAGUGUUCAUCCACUUACGUGUGCAUAGCACACACACACAUGCAUACAUGUACAUUUAGUCUGCAUGGCAUUUAUCCUCAUAUGUGCACUGACACUCAGGCAAGCACAUGGAAACUCUCCCUGCCUGCUAUUUUGGGUGAGGGGAGUAGACUCUAAAUUACAUUAGAUUCAUCUACGACAUUCCUCUUCCAACACAGACAUACCUAUGAUGAAAGCACUAUUAUACAGC